GGUGCCAUUACUGGAGCUAUAACAACACCCCUUGAUGUCCUGAAGACAAGAUUGAUGGUUCAGGGACAAGGAAACCAAUACUCUAGAAUAGUAAGCUGUGCUGAGACAAUCCUGAGGAAGGCCCCAGGGCAUUCAUGGAUAUAAACAACUUCAAUACUUCUAACGAAAAAAAAAAACAGUAUAUGACCUGAUGUGAACUUGAAACUUUUGGAUUUGUUGUCGAAUAAUUUCUCGAAUCUGACUUGUUGGUACAGUUCGGUUUAAAGUAUGUUUUGGCCUAGCAAAUGAUGCACAACGGUAUCUGACUUGCCGGAUUGGAUGAUAGACUGAUAAUUGUGCAGACUUAGUGGUAUAUUAAACACAACAGUGGCAGCAUAAGAUUACAUCUGAGAUGAUAAAAUGGUUUGUUCUAUCUAUUGAAA